rnacentral:rRNA from 1 species
AGCAGCCGCGGUAAUUCCAGCUCCAAUAGCGUAUAUUAAAGUUGUUGCAGUUAAAAAGCUCGUAGUUGAAUUUCGGGAUCAAUAUGUUGGUCGUGCCUUGGUACGUACUGGCGUCAUUGGUUUCUACCUUCUGAAGAACCUCGAUGUCAUUAAUUUGGUGUCUUGGGGAAUCAGGACUGUUACUUUGAAAAAAUUAGAGUGUUUAAAGCAAGCUCACGCUUGAAUACAUUAGCAUGGAAUAAUGAAAUAGGACGUUUGAUUCUAUUUUGUUGGUUUCUAGGAUCGACGUAAUGAUUAAUAGGGAUAGUUGGGGGCACUAGUAUUCAAUUGUCAGAGGUGAAAUUCUUGGAUUUAUUGAAGACUAACUACUGCGAAAGCAUUUGCCAAGGAUGUUUUCAUUAAUCAAGAACGAAAGUUAGGGGAUCGAAGACGAUCAGAUACCGUCGUAGUCUUAACCAUAAACUAUGCCGACUAGGGAUCGGAUGAUGUUAAUUUUUUAAUGACUCAUUCGGCGCCUUACG